GACGAACGCUGGCGGCGUGCUUAACACAUGCAAGUCGAGCGGUAAGGCCCUUUCGGGGUACACGAGCGGCGAACGGUGAGUAACACGUGGGUGACCUGCCCUCAGCUCUGGGAUAAGCCUGGGAAACCGGGUCUAAUACCGGAUAUGACUCCAUGACGCAUGUUGUGGGGUGGAAAGCCUUGUGCGGCUGAGGAUGGGCCCGCGGCCUAU
rnacentral:rRNA from 1 species